ACCUGCCCCUCCUGAAAGGAUCUCCACUGCUAGCUCCAUGUAGACCCGCCCCCUGACAACAGCAAGAAUUGGACAGCUUGUUGUUGGACACACCCUCUCCGAUGCCCUCAUUAAGCUCCCCUGUGUCAUCACCCAAUGAAAAGUUUCUGGCAGAGCCAUACAGGUUGAUCCAAGCAGGACCAAAGAAAUUCUCGCCCCUCCGCCAUUCGUUCAACAUUCAGACCUGGAUCUUCAUUCUCUGACACAGAGGAGGAAACAUCUCUGUGAAGAUGAUCUGUUCAUUCCACACUGGGUCUGCUGUGGACUUCUGUGUGGAUGUACGACCCUGAAAGAUG